CAUGCAAGUCGAACGGCAGCACAGUAAGAGCUUGCUCUUAUGGGUGGCGAGCGGCGGACGGGUGAGGAAUACAUCGGAAUCUACCUUUUCGUGGGGGAUAACGUAGGGAAACUUACGCUAAUACCGCAUACGACCUUCGGGUGAAAGCAGGGGACCUUCGGGCCUUGCGCGGAUAGAUGAGCCGAUGUCGGAUUAGCUAGUUGGCGGGGUAAAGGCCCACCAAGGCGACGAUCCGUAGCUGGUCUGAGAGGAUGAUCAGCCACACUGGAACUGAGACACGGUCCAGACUCCUACGGGAGGCAGCAGUGGGGAAUAUUGGACAAUGGGCGCAAGCCUGAUCCAGCCAUACCGCGUGGGUGAAGAAGGCCUUCGGGUUGUAAAGCCCUUUUGUUGGGAAAGAAAAGCAGUCUAUUAAUACUCGGUUGUUCUGACGGUACCCACAAAUUACGCACCG
rnacentral:rRNA from 1 species